rnacentral:rRNA from 1 species
CCAAAAGCUGGCGACCGGCGCACGGGUGAGUAACACGUAUCCAACCUGCCUCAUACUCGGGGAUAGCCUUUCGAAAGAAAGAUUAAUGUCCGAUAGCAUAUAUUUCCCGCAUGGGUUUUAUAUUAAAGAAAUUCGGUAUGAGAUGGGGAUGCGUUCCAUUAGUUUGUUGGGGGGUAACGGCCCACCAAGACUACGAUGGAUAGGGGUUCUGAGAGGAAGGUCCCCCACAUUGGAACUGAGACACGGUCCAA